rnacentral:rRNA from 1 species
UUGGAGGGCAAGUCUGGUGCCAGCAGCCGCGGUAAUUCCAGCUCCAAUAGCGUAUAUUAAAGUUGUUGCAGUUAAAAAGCUCGUAGUUGAAUUUCGGAGUUUGUCGGUUGGUCGGGCUUCACUGUCCGCACUGGCCUGAUGGAUUCCUACCUUCUGAAUAACCAGCAUGCUAUUAAGUUAGUGCGUUGGGGAAGCAGAGCUAUUACCUUGAAAAAAUUAGAGUGCUUAAAGCAGGCUUACGCUUGAAUAGAUUAGCAUGGAAUAAUAAAAUAGGACGGCAUGGUUCUAUUUUGUUGGUUUCUAGGAUCACCGUAAUGAUUAAUAGGGAUAGUUGGGGGCAUUAGUAUUCAAUUGUCAGAGGUGAAAUUCUUGGAUUUAUUGAAGACUAACUUCUGCGAAAGCAUUUGCCAAGGAUGUUUUCAUUAAUCAAGAACGAAAGUUAGGGGAUCGAAGACGAUCAGAUACCGUCGUAGUCUUAACCAUAAACUAUGCCGACUAGGGAUCGGACGAUGUUAAUUUUUUAAUGACUCGUUCGGCGCCUUACGGGAAAC